GCGAAGUGGUUGAACCAUUUCUGCGUGGUUGAGCUAUUUCCUGUUCAUUAAAUCUGGUUCCUACUCGUAUUCUACUUUUUCAAUCGAUGGGGUAAACUUAAUGAAGCUAGAGAUGCUUAUGCUUCAGCACUGCGGCUCGAACCUGGAAAUAUCAACGCCCGAAAGUACCUGAACAAAAUAGAACAAACUUGACCAAACUUCUAAAUGUAUAAAUAAAACAAAUUACACCAGUACUUAA